GCAGCCCGGUGUGGCUCAGCAGUGCCCAAAUCCCUCCCGGCACCGGAUUCCCUGGGAAAACCCAGAUUUGAGAGCUACACCGGAUACGAAGAUGCUUGAAAAACUGCUUGGUGCUUUUGGAGACUGGAUCCACUCAAACAUUUUAAUGAGAUUUGUUGUCAUUGUUGUUGGAAAAUGCUGCUUCAUCCAAACCAAAAUGUCUCGCAGUGAAAU